AGAAUUAACAGUCCUGCUUUCAUGCCUUUGCUUGCCACCCAGCUUAGCCUCUUAUCUCAGCUUCUGAAACAUUCUUCAAUCUUCUGAAGGUGGCAGCUGUUAAUACAGAACUUGAUGAGGAAGAUGCCAGCAUCUCACCUGGAAUUCACAAAACCCUAGCCAGCCCUAACUCACAAGGGCCUGCACACCCUUUAAUCCAGCAAAAUUAACUCAAGAGCAUGUGGGACCUGAAAUCCAGUCUCUGCAUAUUAUUGCAAGUGCUUCAAGCAAAGAAAAGAACCUGAUUUCACAUUUGAGAUGCAUUUUAAACCAAAGGGAUAGAAGAGUCUAUGAAGUACAGAAAAGAGGAAAGAUCUGCAAACAAUUCGGUAUCUUCUUUUAACUUGAAACUCAUUCUACCCACUGCUACAGCUAGGUACUGUGCUCUUGCUCAGAUUGCUGGAGGGUUUUGUUGUGAUGAUCUCCUUCAAUACAUCAAUACUAUAAGUUCUAUAAGAAUCAUCUCAGAGCUUGUUUAGAACUCAUUUUUUUUCUUUUUCUGGGUUAUGCAAUUAUAAUAUUCAUUUACAUGUGAAAGCCCUGGACCAUCAAUGGAUUUUAUCAAUGUAUUAAAAUUGCUAACUGUGC
ensembl:lncRNA novel transcript